CGGCAGACGGGUGAGUAACGCGUAUGUAACUUACCCUGUACUGGGAGAUAACCCGGAGAAAUUCGGACUAAUACCCCAUGGUAAUAUUGAAAGGCAUCUUUUACUAUUUAAAGCUACGGCGGUACAGGAUGGGCAUGCGUAACAUUAGCUAGUUGGUAAGGUAACGGCUUACCAAGGCUUUGAUGUUUAGGGGUCCUGAGAGGGUGGUCCCCCACACUGGUACUGAGACACGGACCAGACUCCUACGGGAGGCAGCAGUGAGGAAUAUUGGUCAAUGGGCGCAAGCCUGAACCAGCCAUCCCGCGUGCAGGAAGACGGCCCUAUGGGUUGUAAACUGCUUUUCCAGGAGACGAAUAGUCUUUACGUGUAAGGGCAUGACGGUACCCUGGGAAUAAGCAUCGGCUAACUCCGUGCCAGCAGCCGCGGUAAUACGGAGGAUGCAAGCGU
rnacentral:rRNA from 1 species